rnacentral:lncRNA from 1 species
AAGUAGUGUUUGGUCAAGUGUUACUUGGUCAAAAUGACUAAAUCCACCUCAUAGAGUGUUCCAGGAACCUUACCCAUAAGAAAAUAAAUGCUUCUGUUUUAACUUAGACUCCAUAAAAAUUAAAAUUGUUUUGGAAGAAGGAAUGGCUUCCCUGUAACAUGAUGGAUAUUCAACAGCUCAGAUGGAUUUGGCGGGCAGCAUCCAUCCACCUCGAAAAGGAAAACAGAAAACAGGGGUAAGAUGACUCCUGAGGCCCAGACCAUGCGCUCUUACCCAAGUUCAAGAAAAACUUCCUAGCUAAUGCUUAACUUGUUAUCACAACCCCUUUUGAUUUUCCAGAACUUCCUAGCUAUUUUUUAACCAUUUCCAAUCAGAAAAAUGUGACAGAUGGCAUUCAAAGCCAGCCACGAGGUCUCCAAGCCCUCGACUUGAUGAACUUGGCAAAUUCCUCCUUGUUUUUAUCCUUUGCAGACUUUGAAAAGUCUAGAGGUCAAAAGGGGUUUAGCCAUCUGUAACGUCACGCCACGGUCAAAGUCUACGUUUCUGGAUGGUCAUUUCAAAAGAAGAAAAUAAGAGAUGGGAAAUCGGUCAUCAGUGUAACAAACAGGCAGGUCCUGCGAGAAACAGAGGUGGCGGGGGCAGGCAGACAGGACACACACUCCCAGGUUAAAAAAAAAAAAAAGUCACAUUAUCAAUGAAAAGGAGAAGGAGUAGGCUGUGCACCCCAAACGACAAGACCUUUAAGGAACCCUAGUCAAAAUAUUUCUCAUUUAUGCAAAUUUACACCUCAUAAGAAAACAUAAAUAAACCAUGAUUCUUGUCCUAAUUUUUUAACAUCAACUUUGCUGACAAGAUCAGGAAACCCUGGCCAAACAUCUGCAUCAAAUGAUAAAUUC